rnacentral:sRNA from 1 species
UUGACAGACCUUGGUUGAUGAGUUCGAUGGAUCUGGUUCUGAAGUAGAGGAACUGAUGGAGCUGGACGUCGAGCGAGAAGGUGGAUCCUCCGGGCGUCGCCGUGGAGCCGCCGAUGGCGAAGUUGACGCCGUUGCUGAAGUCGGAGCCCAGUGACUUCAGGUACGGGCUCAGAUGAGGCGUGUUCAGGCUUUCACCUGCAU